rnacentral:pre_miRNA from 1 species
UAUUUCAGGCGUUAUACUGGUGAUGUGACUGUUAAAUUCCGAUCACCAGUGUUUCCCUGGAAUAUA